rnacentral:rRNA from 1 species
UACGUAGGGCGCAAGCGUUAUCCGGAAUUAUUGGGCGUAAAGAGCUCGUAGGCGGUUUGUCGCGUCUGCCGUGAAAGUCCGGGGGCUCAACUCCGGAUCUGCGGUGGGUACGGGCAGACUAGAGUGAUGUAGGGGAGACUGGAAUUCCUGGUGUAGCGGUGAAAUGCGCAGAUAUCAGGAGGAACACCGAUGGCGAAGGCAGGUCUCUGGGCAGUAACUGACGCUGAGGAGCGAAAGCGUGGGGAGCGAACAGG